UAGCUCAGUUGGUAGAGCAGUUGACUUUUAAUCAAUUGGUCGCAGGUUCGAAUCGUUCUGGUGGAACGCGAUAGUAAAACGUGAAGGAUAACGUUGCGUCAGCAACGGCCCGUAGGGCGAGGCGAAGCCGAGUCAUCCUGCACGACCCACCG
rnacentral:sRNA from 1 species